rnacentral:rRNA from 1 species
UCAAGCUACAAAGAGCGCAAGGGGAAUGCCUUGGCACUGGGAGCCGACGAAGGACGUAGCGAUCUACGAUAAGCCACGGUGAGCCGAAAGCAGGCAUCGACCCGUGGAUUUCCGAAUGGGGCAACCUGGCUGAAUAGAACUCAGUCAACAUACGGUGAAUAAAAUAGUCGUAUGUAGGGAACCGCCUGAACUGAAACAUCUAAGUAGGGCGAGGAAAAGAAAUCAACCGAGAUUCCGCAAGUAGUGGCGAGCGAACGCGGAAGAGGCCAAACCGAGAGUAGUAAUACUUUCGGGGUUCGGACAGAAUACGGCAUUGUAAAGGUUUAGUGGAAUGGAAUGGGAAGUCCAACCGAAGAAGGUGAGAGUCCUGUACACGAAAAGCCUGAACAGCCAUCUGUAUCCAGAGUACCGCCGGACACGUGAAACCCGGUGGGAAUACGGGGGGACCAUCCUCCAAGCCUAAAUACUACUCGGUGACCGAUAGUGAAGAAGUACUGUGAAGGAAAGGUGAAAAGUACCCCUGACGGGGAGUGAAAAAGAACCUGAAACCUUGUGUUUACAAGCACCGAAAGCUCAUCAAAGAGCGAUCGGGUACCUUUUGUAGAAUGGUCCGGCGAGUGAAUGUAACCGGCGAGGUUAAGCACUUAAGGUGUGAAGCCGCAGCGAGAGCAAGUCUGAAUAGGGCGUAUGAAGUCGGUUGUAUUCGACCCGAAACCGGGUGACCUACCCAUGGUCAGGUUGAAGUAAAGGUAAAACUUUAUGGAGGACCGAACCGACUCCCGUUGAAAUGGUAGCGGAUGAACUGUGGGUAGCGGAGAAAUUCCAAUCGAACCCGGAGAUAGCUGGUUCUCCCCGAAAUAGUUUUAGGACUAGCCUCAAGUUAGAUACCUGGAGGUAAAGCACUGAAUAGCCUAGCGGCCGAGAGGUUAGCGAAGCUUAUCAAACUCAGAAUGCCAGAGUAUUGAUGCUUGGGAGUCAGACAGUGUCAGAUAAAUGUCAUUGUCAAAAGGGAAACAGCCCAGAUCUACAGCUAAGGUCCCAAAGUCAGGUUAAGUGGAAAACGAUGUGAAGAUACGCAGACAACCAGGAUGUUGGCUCAGAAGCAGCCACUCAUUCAAAGAGUGCGUAAUAGCUCACUGGUCGAGCGUCUUUGCGCGGAGAAUUUAACGGGGCUAAACCUGACACCGAAGCUUAGGCAGCAUGUUUACAUGCUGGGUAGGGGAGCGUUGUAUACGCGGUGAAACAGUAGCGCAAGCGGCUGUGGAGUGUAUAGAAGUGAGAAUGCCGGAAUGAGUAGCGCGAAUGCAGUGAGAAUCUGCAUGGCCGAAAGCCUCAGGUUUCUGGAGGAAGGUUCGUCCGCUCCAGGUCAGUCGGGAGCUAAGGUGAGGCCUAACGGCGUAGCCGAUGCACAGACGGUAGAGAUUCCGUCACCACCAAAAGAGUUAAACACAGGGACACAUAUGAAGUCUCGGAGCCGGGUGUUGGUUCCGGUAGCGAUCGAGGGAAGUUAGUACCGAAGUCUGAGAUGGAAGAUGGCGAGAAAAGCUGUGUGUAUUUCUGCGGUGCCCGUACCGCAAACCGACACAGGUAGGUAGGAAGAAGAUUCUAAGGCCAACGGGAGAAGGGUUGUUAAGGAACUCGGCAAAUUGACCCCGUAACUUCGGGAGAAGGGGUGCUGCAGCAAUGCAGCCGCAGAGAAUCGGCCCAAGCAACUGUUUACCAAAAACACAGGUUUGUGCUAAAUCGAAAGAUGACGUAUACGAGCUGACGCCUGCCCGGUGCUGGAAGGUUAAGAGGAGAUGUGCAAGCAUUGAAUCGAAGCCCCAGUGAACGGCGGCCGUAACUAUAACGGUCCUAAGGUAGCGAAAUUCCUUGUCAGGUAAG